ensembl:lncRNA
CCCAGUCACUCAGCGGUUCCAUGGCCUGUGACCCCGCUGUCCCCACACCUCCCUGUUUUCCCUCAUCUUGGGGUCCUGGUGUCCAAGGAAGAGGGGCCAGUCCAGCCCCAGUUCAGCCAAGGGGCCGGAGUGGGAACAGGGACAAUUCUGCUCAGCCACGCUGGGUUUGGGGCCGGGCUCCGCUCUGGGCUGUCCCACAGGGAAAGCUCUGGGAGGGAAGGGGCAGCAGGAGAUGGGGGAUCUGGCUCUGGGGGCUGUGGGAGGAUGGAUUGUGUUGCACUGGGGGCUGUCCCCACAGGGUCCCCAGGUGCCUUUGGCUCCCUGCCUGCCCCCCUGGCCCCCCAGGUGCCUGGGCCCCUCCAGGGGCAGCUGCCCCGGGCAGGAAGCUGGAGGGAUGCCGGGCAAGGGGGCUGGACCCGUGCCACAGCCUCACCCAGCGCUGCCCAGAGCCAGAGGAAGAUGAAGGUGGCUGUGCUCAGCGUGGCCCUGCUCUUCUCCAUCCUGCUGUGCCUCCCAGCAGGGGCUCAGGGUAGGAUAAGAUGUUUUCUGGACCCGAGACGGGGCGUGGUUUGCAACAACGACUUCGGCUCCGGUGGAGGGUUCUCUCACCACGGCCACCCCAUAUUUGGGCUCGGCAAGUUCUUCCGUUCUCGUGGUAAGUACUGGAGUUUUGGGGGAACUGGGAACCAGUUUUUGGGGGAACUGUGGCAACUGGGAACCAGUUUGUCCAGCCCAUCCCUUACUGGGGCCGGAGACACACUGGUGAUGUGUCACCAUCUCUCUGCAGAGGAGAGCCACAGUCGGGAAGAGCAAGGUAAGAACUGGGAAUUGUGGGGCCAGACCCCGUGAUGGCUAUCACUCAUCCCAGUGCACCCAGUAAAUCCCAGUGCACCCCAGGGAAUCCCCUCCAUUGUAUUCCCACCCAUCUUAGUACACCCCAGUAAAUCCCAGUGCUUCCUAUAGUCCCCCAUUGUAUUCCCACUUAUCCCAGUGCCCCCCAGUUGUUCCCAGUGAGACCCUCAUUGUAUUCCCAGUUAUACCAGUGCCCACCAGUAACCCCCACAGUGCAUCACUCCCCGUCUACUCCUUGCCCUCUUUCCCCCCUUGCCCAUUCCUAUUGCCCA